rnacentral:rRNA from 1 species
AGUGGGGUAAGGAUAAACCGGCCUACACAAGGCUAUGAGCGCUAGGGAGGUGAGAGGCCUGGCCCACGAUGACAGGAAACGGUCAUACUACGGUGGCUGCAGUCGAGAAUCUCGCAUGACGAAGUCGACGAGCGACGCCGCGUGAAGAUGAGUACUCGUAUGUAACUCUUUUGGAGGGAGAAGUCAUGAUAGUACUCAGAUAAGGAGUGCUAAACUCGUGCAGCAGCAGCGGUAUACGAGUGCUCCAAGCGUUAUCCGGAAUCAUUGGGCGUAAAGGGUGUGUAGGUGGUCGUAUUAGUCUUUGUAAAAACCUCCGGCUUAACCGGAGAUCUGCAGGGGAAACGGUAUGACUUGAGGAUGCGAGAGGUAUGCGGAACUCAUAGUGUAGGGGUGAAAUCCGUUGAUAUUAUGGGGAACACCAAAAGCGAAGGCAGCAUACUGGCGCACUCUGACACUGAAACACGAAAGCGUGGGUAGCGAAUGGGAUUAGAUACCCCAGUAGUCCACGCCCUAAACGAUCUUCUCUGGCUAUUCGGAGUAUCGACCCUCUGAGUGGCGAAGCUAACGCGUUAAGAGAAGCGCCUGGGUAGUACGGCCGCAAGGCUAAAACUCAAAGGAAUAGACGGGGACUUGCACAAGCAGUGGACCAUGUGGUUUAAUUCGUCGACAAACGAAGAACCUUACCAGGGUUAGAAAUCUAGCUGAAGACACGCAGAAACGUGUGUCGCCGCAAGGCAGUUAGACAGGUGCUGCAUGGCCGUCGUCAGUUCGUGGUUUGAAUUGUUCCCUUAAGUGGGGUAACGAACGCAACCCUCGUUGCCUGUUAUAUAUGUCAGGCGAGACUGCCCCCGAUUUUGAGCAUAAGCCGUACGCGAAAGCGUGCGUGCGCCAAGUGUAGGCGUUUAGCUUGUGAGCAGGAUCGGGGGAGGAAGGUGAGGAUGACGCCAGGUCAGCAUGGCCCUAGACACCCUGGGCUACACACGUGGUACAAUCGCACAUACAACGCGACGCGACGAGGUAACUCUGAGCAAACCGUUAGAAAGUGUGCGCCAGUUCGGAUUGAGGUCUGCAACUUGACCUCAUGAAGCCGGAAUUGCUAGUAAUCGCGGGUCAGCACACCGCGGUGAAUACGUUCUCAAGUCUUGUACUCACCGCCCGUCAACCCAAGGGAGCUGGGGGUACCCGAAGUCUCAUGUAUUUGGGCCUAAGGUAAACUCAGUAACAGGGGGUAAGUCGUAACAAGGUAACCA